CUAUCUUAACUGUAGUCGCGUCUCUCCACCGUGCGCCCACACCCAACCUGCACUGCCUGCCUGAAGAGACGGCGCAGCCCCUGCUGCGGCAGAGUCUGUGUGUGUGUGUGUGUGUGAGAGAGAGACACAUUGGUGUGUGUGCACGGGACAAUUGUCUCCAUAGUGCGGUUGUUCUUAGCGAGUCUCUGCGGCUUCAGCAGCCGCGGUCAGCCGGGCUCUCUGCGGCAGUCACCCCGUGUAAACACCUCAUCCACCUCUGGGUUGCGAGCUCUGCAGCUGGUAGCAUCCUCCUCCUCCUCCUCGUCCUCCUCCUCCUUCAUGUACUGUCAGUGUGGAUAGUGGCAUAUUUACUGUGAAGCAUCAGAGCAGAGAAGACGUCUGACUGGAACCAUGAGCAGCACUGUGUUUCAGCAGCAGGCUGUCCACAGCCCUCUGGAGCAGCAGCAGAAGAAGAAGCAGGGCGGCGGCGGCGGAGGAGGACCGAUCCCCUGUCAGAACUGUGGGAAGCCGUGCAAAGGCGAGGCCCUGCGGGUUCAGAACAAACACUUCCACAUCAAGUGCUUCGUAUGUAAAGUCUGUGGAUGUGAACUGGCCCAGGGAGGCUUCUUCGUGCGGCAGGGCGAGUACAUCUGUACUCUGGACUACCAGCGACUGUACGGCACUCGCUGCUUCAGCUGCCAGGACUUCAUCGAGGGGGAAGUGGUGUCCGCUCUGGGCAAGACCUACCAUCCCCGCUGCUUCGUCUGUGCCUCCUGCAAACAGCCAUUCCCGGCCGGCGACCGAGUGACAUUUAACGGGAAGGAGUGUAUCUGCCAAAAAUGUACCCAGCCGCUCCCUGCCAAUAGCCCAGCACCCAUACAGGCUGUCCACAAUUGCUGCGGCUGUGGGAAGGAGUUUAAGAACGAACAGUCUCUCGUGGCUCUGGACAAACACUGGCACCUGGGCUGCUUCAAGUGCCAUGUCUGCAACAAGGUGCUCAACGCCGAGUACAUCAGCAAGGACGGGAUCCCUUUCUGCGAGAUGGACUACCACGCCAUGUUUGGCAUCCAGUGCGAGAGCUGCAAGAAGUACAUCACCGGGAAAGUCCUGGAGGCUGGAGAGAAGCAUUACCACCCCACAUGUGCCCGCUGCGCCCGCUGUGAGCAGAUGUUUGCAGAAGGCGAAGAAAUGUACCUGCAAGGAUCUUCUAUCUGGCAUCCUCCAUGCCGACAAGCAGCCAAGCAGGAGGAGAAGAGUAAGAAGCAGGUCCGGAUACAGCUCAAUGACAACACUGAGCAGCAGGUGACCCGGACUUCAUCCGAGAGCAUCACCUCAGUCCCAGCGUCCAGCGCCUCAGGCUCUCCCAGCAGAGUCAUCUAUGCCAAACUAGGUGAGGAGAUGCUGGACUACAAGGACCUGGCUGCUCUUCCAAAGACCAAGGCCAUCUACAACAUCGAGAGGCCUGACAUGUUGUCCUACUCUCCAUAUGUCAGCUAUCCAUCCGAGGAGAGGCAUUACGGAGAGUCCCCCCUGCUACUUUCUCCUACUCCCACAGAGGGCGAUGGGGAGAAGUCGCCCCGGCAGAGGAGGCCCUCCAGCCCCAGCUCUAACAGCUCACUGGGGGGGUACGGACGUUACACCCCAUGCCGUUCCCCCCAAAACGUCAGCCGACCAGGGCCAGAGUUAAACCUUGCUGGUAGACAUGUCAUCCAAACCCGUGACCCCAGCUCUCUUCCUCUGCCCCCGACCAUCAUGGGUGGCAUUAAGUACCCUUCCACCUGGGCCAGGGACUCCUCCUCCCUCCCUGUGUACUAUUCUGGUGGGGCUGAGGGCAGUGGAGGUGUUGGUGGUGGUGACAAGCACUCACCCACACCAGCAGGUGGCGGUGCAGGCAUGUCAUUACACCUGAACCCCACGACCCUGGCCCUGCUGCAGCAGCACAACUACAUCCCUUACUUCAAAGGGUUCAAACAGGACCCCCUACCUGACCCUAAACCUAGGACAUCCCUGCAUCUCAGUUUACCUCCUCCUAACGGUAGUGAAAGUGGUCGGAGUACCCCCAGCUUAUCCACCUACUCUGAUGGCAAAUCUCCCUCCUCUUCAUACGUACCCGUUCCACGGCAUUUCCACAUACCAGAGACUGUGGUCAAAGAUAAUAUCUAUAGAAAACCCCCCAUCUACAAACAGCAUGCUUCUAGAACAUCCUGGCAGGAUGGGGAGGAUGGCAAGAGGACCAGUUGGAUGAUCUUGAAGAGUGAGAUUGAUGGACAAAUGGGUCCAGAAGACCUGGACCCGCGCAAGUCCACUUGCAGUCUUCCCACUGACACCUCCCAGCCAAAUUUCCCUUACAAUAAGUCUGCGUCUUUACCAGGAUAUGGAAGGAACGGCAUCUACAAGGCUGCUGAGAUGGUGGAGGAUGAAGUGGACCCAGACUCCCAGAGUUGGGGAGGCAUGAGAGAGUACAAGGUAAGAGUUUAAUACUUAACAAAUAUUCUUUAAUAUACUUGGCAGCUGGUUUGGCCACUGGAUUCAAAUUUUAUUCCCCAGUAAUCUUCCACAAUGCUUACUUUGUGUGUGCCAGGUCUACCCUUAUGAAAUGCUGGCAGUGACGCAUAGAGUGAAAGUGAAGCUUCCCAGAGACGUAGAUCGCACCAGACUGGAGAGACACCUAUCUCCCCAAGACUUCCAGCAGGUUUUCGGCAUGACCCUGGAUCAGUUCGACCGCCUGGCCCUGUGGAAGAGGAACGACAUGAAGAAGAGGGCACGCCUUUUUUAGACAGACGAGGAAAAGAAGAGGAAAAAAAAUCAAUAAAUAAUACAAACACACCACGCAACAUCUCAACAACCGACCAUCCUGUUCCGGAAGGAGGCAGAAGCGCAAAAACAACGACCCAUUUGAAAUCUCUAUAUAUGCACCGCCGUGAUACCGACUUACUCUCCACCUGUAAAAUGCCAUGCCGUGUAAUCUGCCCGUGUCGCCGCGGGAGAGACGAGAACACUCUCUUGCACACACACACACAUGCGUGUGGCAGCAUCUAUAGCUUUUUGUAUGCAAUGUGGUCCGAAUGUUUGACUGACAAGUCCGCGGCUCGAGGGCGAGGAGCUGCGUUUGCAUGGCCUGUUGUUGAUGCUCCUCACCUCCCGUGUGGUUUCUGCAUCCACCGUCACCCCCUACCUCCCUCCCUCCCUCUCGACUCUGACCCACCCCAUCCUGACACUUUCACACCGGGUUGUGUGGUCCUGACUGUUUUAUGUGCCUCGUCGUAUUCCUUUUUAUCAUAUCGUCUUUUCUGUCCCUCCAUCAUUUUCACUUCUUCUCCCCUGCACUGACUGACUGUUACCUUGCUGAGCAAGUCCCCCUUUCACACCCCAAUGCCGUUCAGUCCAGGACACUGAAGAGACUCACCGCUCGAGCGCGUCAAGGCCCCAAAGACGGGGGGAUUUAGCAACAACUUCUUGUGCUAUCUUUAUUUCCAGAUCUGUCAAAACGCAUCACAUCACGGGCUUUUGUUUUCAGUUUUCCUUCGCGAUCCGUUCAGUUUCAGAAAGCCUGGAUGGGUAGUUUUGAUAUGUGUGCUCUGAACGCGGUCCCACGUCUUGCAUAAGCCUCUCAUAAAUCAGUGCAGACGGGGAGAGCCGAGGCUGGAAAGGGGCCACAACAUGGCAGUAAAUCACACAUGGAAGGAGUUGAAAAAGGAAAAAAAAACAACAACAGUACAGUAGACAGUUUCAGGGUAAACAAAGGUGUCAAACGUUGCAUACACACACAUAAAAAUAAAUUAUUUUUAUAAGCUAUUUUUGACUUCUGGAAAGGGCCGUCACACGAGUCACGGGACGCGGAAACCGAGAGAGGAAUCGUGAAAAGGCCACGUCCACUUUUGUUUCAGCUUCUCAGACCUGCAGCGGCACUUGCUCGGUUUAAAACUCUCAAUACUAUAACCGUGUUGUAUCGCGUUCUCCGACGUAGGGAACCCUAACUCUUUAUAUGUUUGUCAUUUGAAAGCAGUGUUUUAAAAAAAAGAAAGAAAAGAAGCUACAUAUCGAAGCUGAAGUCUUCUGCUCGACCAUUAAACGGAUCCGCCCGCCAACUAACAUACUGUUCAUAAUGUGUGUGAACAUGUACUGGACAUAUACCAGAUUUAUUUGUCUGUAUACAAUCCACCGCGGUGUAUAACUCUACAUGGCAUGCAUGAGGAUGAGGAAAACAGGGGCAGGCGGGGGGAGGGGGAGGAGUUUGUUUGUCCACUGACCUCGUAUUAAGAAGACUGUGUUUUGAGCGACUGAUUAUUUUUUUCGGUCGCGUGAAAAAAAAAACAACAACAACGCCUGGGUCAGUUGCUUACGUUAGCUUGUGUUAGAUAUUUAUUGAAUUGCCAUUUUUAAGGAAGGGAUUUUAUUUUUUAAAUCUGACGAGUGUGUAGCGCUGAACGGACUAGCAUCACCGAGGACAGAGAGAGAGAGAGAACUUUCGGGAAAGAGAAACAUAUCAAACUAAGUUUAAUUUUAAGUGAGAGUGUCAAAUCACUUUUUAUUUUAUUUCAUUUUUUGUUUUUGCUCUUGUAAGUAACACACUAACUCGUUGUCAUCAAGCAUCCUGUUCUAAUAUUCGUCUGCUAUUAAAGUGCUUUAUCUAAAAAAAAAAGUCCACAGUCAGUAUGGACUGGAGUGCUUGAGUUUGUUCAUUAAAUGGAUGUCAAAAGUGAAAUGGAAUGACGGUGAUACUUUUAAGUAAAGUGUGCGAUACAUA